rnacentral:rRNA from 1 species
UACUACCGAUUGUUUCCAGUUAAUGAGCGAUAUGGAUGAGUCCCGUGAUCGGCUUGUCCGUGAUCGUUGGGCUGAGAAGUUGGACAAAUUAUCUGGGGUAGAGGACGUAAAAGUCGUAACAAGGUAUCCGUAGGUGAACCUGCGGAUGGAUCAU